GGAUGUGAGGGCAAUCUGGCUACAACAUCUGUCACCCCACUGAUUGCCAGGGUUGAUUGGGCUGAUCUGGCUGGCUAGGCGGGUGUCCUGUUCCUCCCUCACUGCUCCAUGUGCAUCCCUCCCGAAGCUGCGUACUCAAUCGAAGAGGACGGCCUUCCCCGAAUAGAGACCAACCGGUGUUCAGUCAAGGUUAUUUGAGUAGUUGUGCUCCCCUGUUAGGACCUCCAAACAAGCUCUCAAGAAUAGGGAAAGUUUAGAGAGGGAGGGGAUAUGGGACUCU
ensembl:misc_RNA 7SK 7SK RNA